rnacentral:lncRNA from 1 species
AUUGCCACUCCAGUCAUUAAUUGCCUGCUAAAGGGCUCCUUAUUAUAUUACUUUUUUUCUUUAGGAUUUUACAGGACUGGCCAAUUUGAGCAAAAGUUUGAGUCCAAGUCUCUCAGAAAUUAUGCAUCUGUGACAUUUCCAGCAGAAAGUCGUGUGAUACAACACACAUUGUUCUUGGAGUUGUCAUCAUCCCACCAACCUCUGAUGCAGGAUACAAUCUGCCACUUAUCUACCAUAGUGGAGAAUGUGUCUCAAGACAUAUCAGCGAACUCUCAAGGCAAAGGAAAAGUUGGCUUAUGAAUAUCAACAUUACUGUCAGAUUGACCUAUGCUCCCUUAACCUGAGAAGAAGAAAAAAAUCUCCCCUCCAGCAUACAGAGGAGUUGCUGCAAGGAUGAAAAAUUUUUAGCAGAAAAGUGUCACAUCGUGGGGAGACCAUGGCAUUUUGGGAAGAUAUAAAGGAGAAAAAGCUGUGUUUGUUAAAACCAAUGUACUUUAUACAGCACAGAGCUCUAUAGGGGACUGAUCAAAGCCUGCUGCACCUGAGUCACAAUGGAUUCUAAUUCUAAACUUGCACAUUGAAGUACUUUUCUUUCAGAAAUCUGACAGCACUUGGCAGACAUUAGUUGAUGCUUUCACAACGCUCUUGUGAGGAAUGUAUAAGUCCCAAUUUACAAAUGUGGAAACUUGUAAUAUAGAGAUGUUCAGGCAACCACUUUCAGAGGACGGAGUGCCUAAAAUUAGAUAUCAGAAUCCCUCUUGAUCUUUCACUGAAGAUUGAACUAAACCUUUUUUGAAAGAUGAAAAAGUGCACAAAAUCUUCUUUUCAUUAUUUUUCACUCAACUCUGAAUGGCCUGUCUCUUUUCAUGUCUAGAAGUUGCACUGUUGGGACAAAGGCUGUCCUUGCAGUAUUUCGAGCCUAUCCAGCAUCUGGAAGUAUUGGAAAUCUCAUAAUCCUGUCAAGUAGUUUCAGAACUCAAAAGGGAUUGAUAUGAAAUUUGAAUGAAGGUUUGGGACAGUUGUUUUACCCAAACUGGUUCACCCAACCCAAUUAGUAUUAAAAAGGGGGUAUGAUUGCAAAGUUUAUAUUCAGAUAUGAACAUCCUUAGAAUUUGGGAUGUUUGAAUCUGAACUUCUGGUUUGGUUCAUGAUACAGAUAUGGGACAAGCCAUGACCUUUGGAUCCAGAAUCAAGCUUACUUAAACAUGGAGACUGUUUUCGCUGUGAGAUUUUGGUUCAGGUCCAUGUCUAGUGAGUAUAUGCAGUGUGGUUUUGUCAGGCUGAACUGCAUAGUAAAUACAAAACAGAUUUCAUAACUCAUUAAAAAUCUGCUAAAAAGCAAUGAGAAAAGUCAUGUUUUUAAAAUGGAGUUUAAUGAAACAAGACUGGCAUCAAGUUUAGUAACAGGCUUCUCUCACCAAAAGGCCUCCUCCUGUUUCUAGGCAACCAUCCUGUCUGUACCUGGAAAAGGGUUUUGCAUUAUCAUUUUGAAUAGGAUCAAAACUGUUGUUAAUAAAGUACUCAGGAAGGAACA